GUGGGGAAUAUUGGGCAAUGGGCGCAAGCCUGACCCAGCAACGCCGCGUGAAGGAAGAAGGCUUUCGGGUUGUAAACUUCUUUGACAGGGGACGAAACAAAUGACGGUACCCUGAAAACAAGCCACGGCUAACUACGUGCCAGCAGCCGCGGUAAUACGUAGGUGGCGAGCGUUAUCCGGAUUUAUUGGGUGUAAAGGGCGUGUAGGCGGGACAGCAAGUCAGAUGUGAAAACCAGAGGCUCAACCUCUGGCCUGCAUUGGAAACUGUUGUUCUUGAGUGUCGGAGAGGUAAUCGGAAUUCCGUGUGUAGCGGUGAAAUGCGUAGAUAUACGGAGGAACACCAGUGGCGAAGGCGGAUUACUGGACGAUAACUGACGCUGAGGCGCGAAAGCGUGGGGAGCAAACAGGAUUAGAAACCCGAGUAGUCC
rnacentral:rRNA from 1 species